AGUCAGCAAAAGAAAAAGGAAGAAAAAAAAAGCUUAGGUCAACCACGAGCACACUACUCUUUGCUGUUGAUUCUCCCACGGCUUUAAUUUGUCUCGCUAGGGUUCUUUUUUUCUUUCAGUGUGGGUGUGUUUUGUUUCUGGGUCAAAGAUGAAGGCACCGACCCUCGGUUGGUUUUUGUACUGAGAGGACCUGUCUUUUGCUUCCUUCGGUCUUCAAGGAUUUAGAAGAAAGAAAAUCAUACCUUCCAAGAAAUCAGUAUUUGUAAGCCCGGUCUUGUUUUAGUUUUAUUUCCUUUAGACCCACCUUUUGGCUUUCUAAUUUUCUUUUCUUUUUCCUUUCCUUUCCUGCCCAACCACCAUUUUGCAAUCAAACUUAUGGUUCAUAUCAUCUGGUUCUAGUGUGAUUAAAAGAAGAAGAAGAAAAAAAAAAGGUAAAUUUUGGUGGUGGAUGUGGGUCAUCAUUAUGAACUUGGGUAUUCUAAUAAUUAAGGAGAGGAAGUGAUAAGAGAAAUUCCCAGCAAGUUGCCAGUUUCAUCCUCUUCUUCUGCUAUCAAUUUGUGACAAGGAACUUGAGAUGAUGGACUUGUCACUUGGGAGCUGCAAUAACAUUGAAGAAUCAAAUACUGGAAGUAGUAGGUGUAUUGAGAAAGAAUAUAUGUUUGAUAAAGUUGUAACACCAAGUGAUGUAGGCAAGCUGAACCGCCUGGUAAUACCGAAGCAACAUGCGGAGAAGUACUUCCCUCUCGACUCUUCAUCGAAUGAGAAAGGGUUGUUGUUGAAUUUUGAAGAUCGGAACGGCAAGUCUUGGCGGUUCCGGUACUCAUACUGGAAUAGCAGCCAGAGUUAUGUGAUGACCAAAGGGUGGAGCCGUUUCGUCAAGGAGAAGAAGCUUGAUGCGGGUGACAUCGUGUCGUUUCAACGGGGUGUUGGGGAGUCCGGGAAACACCGGUUGUACAUUGAUUGGAGGCGGAGGCCGAAUGCACCCAAUCCAACGUCCUUUGCACAUUUUCAGAUGCAAAAUCAGUUCAACUUUCCUCAGUCAGUCCGAUGGGGGGGUGGAAUCUACUCGCUGCCUCAAAGCUAUGAGCCUUUGCAUCGCUUGAAUUACAGCAUAUAUCCUUAUAACCAUCAUCAUCAACGACAGCAGCAUCAACAGCUACAGCAGCAGCAGCAUCAGGCAAUUACUUACGGUAAUGUGGCGCAGUCGCAGUACUAUCUGAGGUCAUCAUCAUCUGGGUCAUACCAUCAUCAUCAUCACCACCAACCUCAUCAAACUGGGGCAAUGCAAGAAGGAAGAGUGGAGCCAAUGGUGAUCGAGUCAGUACCAGUUGUUCAGGGUAAUAAAACGGCGGCUAAAAGACUAAGGUUGUUUGGGGUGAACAUGGAGUGUCCUACUCCUACAACAGAUGAAUCUUCCUCGAGUUCUCCUCAUGCCACAAUAGUUUCUGAUCAUGAUUCUCCUUAUUUCCCUUCCUCUUCUCUCCAAUCAAGAUUGCCCAAUAAUAACACCCCAUUCCCACUCUCCAGAAUGCAAGCUGAAUAUUCAAAGAAGGGAAAAUCUUCCUUGUCCUUUGAUUUGGAUCUAUGAUCGAUGAUGAGCAAAUCACAGUGCAGGCAUUGCAGGUAAUGCACAGAAAAGUUGCAGCACUGGAAAAGCCAUGAUCAGAUGAUCUUGUCUGGACUGCUACACACAAAAAAGUUCUCUUGUGUUAAAAGAGGGUUCAGAUUCCCCCAACUGAUGGGUCUAUUGAGACUGGACUUCAUCCAAUACUUGAGGCGUGAAGGUAAAAUUAAUGCCCAAAUGUGCUUUUGGUGCUGUGUAUGUAUGGGAAGAGGAUGGUAGCUAGUCCGAAAAAUUGCAUGGAUGGGUUACGUUGUUUAUCUGCCAUAUCUAAGUUUGAUAAUAAUGGUGGGGAUAUAUGCGAAAUAUGAUAAGCUUUUCCCCUUAACUAACAGCUUCGUUUUGCUGUCAUUAAUUAACAGUAUUUUUUAAAAGAUAAAGUUUUUUUUUAUACAUUUUAAUUGGUUAAAAUCAACAUUAAAAGUAACUAUUGAAUUCUUAGAAGGAUUUUCUGAAUAAAGUGCCCUUCGUACAUUUUUAAGGAAA